UACAGAGGUGGCGAGCGUUGUUCGGAAUUACUGGGCGUAAAGGGCGCGUAGGCGGCCAUCUAAGUCAGACGUGAAAUCCCCCGGCUUAACCUGGGAACUGCGUCUGAUACUGGAAGGCUUGAGUAUGGGAGAGGGAUGUAGAAUUCCAGGUGUAGCGGUGAAAUGCGUAGAUAUCAGGAGGAACACCGAUUGCGAAGGCAGCUCGCUGGAACGUUACUGACGCUGAGACGCGAAAGCGUGGGGAGCAAACAGG
rnacentral:rRNA from 1 species